rnacentral:rRNA from 1 species
UACAGAGGUCUCGAGCGUUGUUCGGAUUCAUUGGGCGUAAAGGGCGCGUAGGCGGCAAUUCAAGUCAGCUGUGAAAUCUCCGAGCUUAACUCGGAACGGUCAGCUGAUACUGUUUUGCUAGAGUACAGAAGGGGCAAUCGGAAUUCUUGGUGUAGCGGUGAAAUGCGUAGAUAUCAAGAGGAACACCUGAGGUGAAGACGGGUUGCUGGGCUGAUACUGACGCUGAGGCGCGAAAGCUAGGGUAGCAAACGGG